CCUACGGGGGCUGCAGUGGGGAAUAUUGGACAAUGGGGGGAACCCUGAUCCAGCCAUGCCGCGUGUGUGAAGAAGGCCCUCGGGUUGUAAAGCACUUUCAGUGAGGAAGAACGCCUGGUGGUUAAUACCCAUCAGGAAAGACAUCACUCACAGAAGAAGCACCGGCUAACUCCGUGCCAGCAGCCGCGGUAAUACGGAGGGUGCGAGCGUUAAUCGGAAUUACUGGGCGUAAAGCGCGCGUAGGUGGCUUGAUAAGCCGGUUGUGAAAGCCCCGGGCUCAACCUGGGAACGGCAUCCGGAACUGUCAAGCUAGAGUGCAGGAGAGGAAGGUAGAAUUCCCGGUGUAGCGGUGAAAUGCGUAGAGAUCGGGAGGAAUACCAGUGGCGAAGGCGGCCUUCUGGACUGACACUGACACUGAGGUGCGAAAGCGUGGGUAGCAAACAGGAUUAGAUACCCGUGUAGUC
rnacentral:rRNA from 1 species